UACAGAGGCCACAAGCGUUAGUCGGAAUCACUGGGCUUAAAGGGUGCGUAGGCGGGUCUGCAAGCGUCUUGUGGAAUACCCCGGCUCAACCGGGGAACAGCAGGGCGAACUGCGGAUCUUGAGGCAUGUAGGGGCUGCGAGAACAGUAGGUGGAGCGGUGAAAUGCGUAGAUAUCUACUGGAAUGCCGAUGGUGAAGACGCGCAGCUGGGCAUGUCCUGACGCUGAGGCACGAAAGCGUGGGGAGCAAACAGG
rnacentral:rRNA from 1 species